AGCAUUUCAGCUAUGAAUUAGCUAGAAGAACGCACGCUGAGCGCCAACAAAUGUUGCUUACAGCCGCGCUGCUCCGCAUAUGUUACGGCUGUGAACGCGGAAGGGGUAAAGUGGCGCUGUGUAAAAUUUGUAAAUUUCUGAGUGUUUGAACACACAACUAUGAACUAUAUGUGUUCGCCUGUAUGUGUGCGUGGACAACUUACUGUUUCUCACGGCAGUGACACUGGCCGUACAUAAUAUUUCACGAAUUUUUCGGCCGCCUGCUCCUCCGCGGAGUUUUCUCUAAGUUUUGACGCUGGCGGCAGCGGUUUGAUGCUUUGAGUGUUAAUGCGUUUUGGCUUCACACAAAAUGUUUGCGGAUCGCCACAACUACAACUGCACGCAUCCACUACACUACUGACCACUACAACAACAGCAACAACUCAACGUAUCGCAUAGAAUAAUACGUAGGAGACUAUGGCUAUGGCAGCAGCGUCCGCGAGCGAGUGAGUUCACUCAAACGGCAUUAGCGGCACUUCGCACAUACAAAAUUUCUAGAAGACGCACACAACGACAUAUGUUUGCGCCCAGCAUUGCGAAGUGUAUAUAUGUGUGUGUAUGUAGGAAAGUGACUAGAGUCGCGGUGGCAGCACAACGUCAGGCCAGACAUCAGCGACAGUAUCGAGUGUGUGUUGGUAAUAGGAGCGGGCCAGUCGAUCUGCCAAACAGUCUGCUUGUCAUCCCAGCUAGCCAGCGAGUCAGUGCGUCAGCGCCGUUGGACACACAGGGCUAGUUAGCCAGCCAGCCAGUGAGAUAGCCUGGCAGUGGGGCACUUAGGCCGUCAUCAGGCAACGCCAGCGGAAGGAAUCAGCCAUAGAAAUAGAUAUAGUAGCGGCAGCAGCAGCUAGCGACAGCAGCAAUAGCAGCCACUCGGGCAGCCACUCGUGCAGUUAGCCAGUUAGCACGCCAACUAAAGCAACAACCAACAACCAAGAGCCACCAAGCAGGCAAGCAACCGACCAACCAACCAAGCAGGCAAGCAGCCAGCCAGGCAGGCAGCAAGUCAGCCAGUCAGCUAGUCGGGCAGUCGGCAGUCAGCCACCGCAUAUUCGCACACUCAGCGAACGCAACGCAACACAUGCAAAAAGUUACUCGCUUGCAACGAACGAGACGAGACACGCAACGGCUAAGAACGGAUCGCAUUUGCGGCAAUAGCACCAAAUAGCUAACUAACUGACUAGAGAAAGACCAGCGGCGGCUGAAUGUGUAGAAAAGGCGGAAAGAAAUUACUUUUUUGUUUUUUGCCGUGCCAACGAAGUGUGCACCGAACUCUUUUGAGUAAUUGAAAUAAGAAAAAUUUCGUGAAAUGUUAAAAGUUUUCGAAAAAAAUGAGACUUUUGUAAAAAUGCAACGCCAAACGAGUAUGCAAAGUGAACUGGGAAAAAAGUGUUUUGAGUGCGACGAAGCAUUAGCGAAGCGGGAAAGGCAGUAAACGUCGUGCGCAUAGCGGAAGUAUAGCAGUGAGAAAGUGCGAUCAAUAUCACUUUACUAACAACAAAAUAUAUGAAUAUGCGGCAUGAGCACACAAAUCGUCAUUACAACUAACUUAAAAUUGCAACAAAAGAAAAAUAUUGAAAAGAAACUGAGCUAGAAGUAGCUAAAAAGCUAACGUUGUAUAAAAAAAUAUCGUCACAAAAAAGUUUUGUGUAUAAAAAGUGGAAAUUAAGCAGAAAUUUACAAAAAAAUUGAAGAAAAAAUCGCGAAAAUUGUGAAUGUAUUAACUCUAAAAACUGUUUCGGUGACCAAAAAAAAGCUAAAAAUUACAUAAAAAAUAAAUACAUAUGUAUUUGCAAAAUUGUGAAAUUUCAGAAAACUGCAAAAAUUAAAGUGUACCAAAAAAAUAGAACAGUUUUGGCAAAAAUUCUUAAAAAGAAUCGCUGAAAAAAAUUAAAGUGCUGAGAAAAAAGUGAAAAAAAAAAUCACAAAAAUAUUGCACUGCUGUUGAAAUACGCCCCGAGUAGCAGCAGACAGAGGCAAAACGCUAGCAAAGGACAAAAGAAAAAAUAUUAAAAAAAAACGAAACGAAACACGCAGAUAAUUUAUAAAUAAUAAUCUUCUAGAAGCUCGGAUUUGACAACAACAGCGCGCAGACUUUGCUGAUCGAUUGAGUGUUGUGAUUGGUUGGAAAAUAAUUUACGUUGAAAGCAAAAAAUUUACAAGUCGCUGCUUUUUUCAUAAUUCUGUAAAAAAAAAACAAACGCUGUGAAAAAACCAACAAAAACACACACAUACAAAGAGGCGAAAGAAAGAACUUACUUAAGACAUCAAAAACAGUUGCUACAAUACAUAUUACUGUGCAUGACACAAAAGAAAAAGUUACCACAAAUUACAACAAAAAUUUUACAAUAAAUUACAACAACAUUAAAUAAUUUUGAAAUACUAAAAAUCGUUUUUGUUGGCAAAAAGACGUUGUUCUCAAACGCAAACACACGCAAGCGACUACAACAACAAAAAUAUAGACUUUUACCAAAAAAAAAAAGAGUAAACGUUUAAUUAUUUACACUUGUUUACUGCCGAAAAACUGCAACUUUGACACGUCAAAACACCGGAAAAAAUUGUAAAACAUUUACCGCAUUUUAUUUUCGCCAAAAAAAGUGAAUUCACAAAAACAAAAACAAGUGCAACAAAAAUUAACAUUCACCUGCUCUUAACUCGAAGAAAGUCGCAAUAAGCAACAAAUUAGCGGAAAACGCAAAAUUCAACAAAAGUUGUAUAUUGGUUUUUGUUAUUGUUGUUGCUACACAUAUGCUUUAUCAAGUGAAAUAAAUGCAUUUUAUUGCUAUUGAGUUGCCACCAAAAUUCGUUUUGAUUUAACUUUUACAACCGCACUGCUCGCAAUCAAACAUUUCUGUUUACGCCAUUAGAAAUUCCAGCCAAAUUUUACAACAACAAAAGUGUGAAAAAUUACAAAAAUCUAAAUAAAUAAAUUUCAAUUCAAUUUCAAAAACACACAAAUCUGUUUCGAGUUAUAACUUAUUUCCAAAUUAGCUAACUGUUUUUCGGUGUACGCUUACUGGCAUGCACAUAUGUAUUUGUGUAUAUGUGUGUGUGUGACGCGUGUGACAAAGUUACGUCCCGUUUAAUUUUACAAAUGGAUUACAUCUGCGCUUCACAAACUGGAUGGUAUACAGCAGCUUUAGUAGCCGACAGUGGCAUUAUUGCAACAACAACAACCACAACAAAACCAACAACAGUGAAAGCAAUUAAAAUAAUAAACACAGCUGAUACUGUGAGCGCCAUAAAGAGAUUCAACAGCAGUUUGGCAGGAAACGUGCACAUGUUGAAUUGUUUUUAAACAUUUCUGCUUUAUGUGAAAAUUCAUACCAAACCCAAAAAAAAGUCAAAAUUCCAAAUUUAAACUCAACGUCUAAACAUUCAAAGAGAAACAACAAACACCCCAUACAAAUAAACAAGCAUUAAACUUUCGGUAAAAACAUAAACAACUUUGGCCUCUUCCCUUCUUUACAACAUACUCGAAUACAACUGUGGAAAAUUUAACCGCUAAGCGUAAAAAUAACCAAAAAAUGUCUAAAAACUGCUAAUAACAAAUCAAAUUAAAUGUAUAAAAUUAUUUAAGAAAACUCUCAAGGACUUAAAUACAUUUAAAACAUAAAAAGUGGCUAUGAAAAAUUUAACUUCUCGGCAUUAACCAAAAAUUAAAUCAAUCAAAGUGAAAGCGUGUACUGUACGGAAUUUAAAAGUUGGCAAACGAAAUAUACAAGAAUCAGCAAAUUUAAAGUGAAAGCUCUUCUUAGUUAUAGAUUUUUGGCAAUAAAAUAAUUUUUUCGUAUAAGCUUCUUUGAAGUGAAAGCUGAUUUGAUGUGAAAGCUCAUUUGAAGUAAAAGUUAUUUUGAAGUGAAAGCUCUUUUGUAGUUAAAGCUCAUACAAAGUGAAAUUUCUUACAAGUGAAACUUAAAUAAUGAAAGCUUGUUUCAUAUCAAAAGCUCAUUUCAUAUUAUAUUUUUGUUAAAAAAGUGAAAGCUCGUUUUCGGAACAAUCAAAAUCACAAAAGCUUUCUAAAGUCGUAUAAAACUCGAAAACAUAAAUAAAAGUUGCUUACAACAACGUAUGUCUCUUGUGCUCUCUCUCUCACACUAUCGUAUAUAUGUCAAAUACACUACUUUCUUGCGGUUUUUGUUUCUUUUUUCUCACAAAUUGUGAAUUUAUAAAAGCUCGCGCUUACAUUUAUGUGCAAAUGAAAACCAUUAAAAAUUUAAACUAAUUACAAAUACAACAGUUAUUAUUUUAUACAAAAAAAGUGAAAACAACAGGUGUGUUCUCUGUAAAAAAAGCAACAAAAUUUCAUGCAGCAGAUCAUUUGUCUUGUGUAAAGAAAUAUAUAAAAUAACAGUUUAGCACCUAAAUCAUAACAACGGCAAAGCGUAACGGUUACAUCUUACAGAAAACUACAACAAAAGCAACACAGCAACAACAAAAAAACCGGCAACACGGCCAAGCAAAAUUUUUAUCUUAUGGAUUGCUGGACGGGUAACGCCCGACUGGCGAGUGUUUUAGUUUAAGGUGAGUC